rnacentral:misc_RNA from 1 species
AACGCAUAUGGCACCCGAGACCUCGGUCAAGGGUAUGUCUGCCUCAGAGUCGGCGUAAAACAACUCCCCUGUUGGCUCACAGCGAGCCCAUCAAGGGGGAACUGAUCUUCCCGCACCGCCGGUGCGGGUUGGUCGAAGGAGAGAAACGGGUGUGGGUGGCCGGGUCCGUUUCCUGGCUGACCGAGAUUUGUUGGAAGGACUAUCGUCCGAUCUUCGUCUCGGGACAGGGGAGGCACCAUCCCGCCAGCCUAGCCCGCAAUGCAGGAAAACGUGGUCGUGCUCCGACACCGACCCCUUUGCAUCCGACCUGAGUUCAGGCAAGAUCACCCGCUGAACUUAA